rnacentral:tRNA from 1 species
GUGGAUGUAGCUCAAUUGGCAGAGCGCUGGAUUGUGGCUCCUGAGGUUGCGGGUUCGAGCCCCGUCUUCCACCCCA